rnacentral:rRNA from 1 species
UAUUGCACAAUGGGGGAAACCCUGAUGCAGCCAUGCCGCGUGUGUGAAGAAGGCCUUCGGGUUGUAAAGCACUUUCAGCGAGGAGGAAAGGUUGGCGCCUAAUACGUGUCAACUGUGACGUUACUCGCAAAAAAAGCACCGGCUAACUCCGUGCCAGCAGCCGCGGUAAUACGGAGGGUGCAAGCGUUAAUCGGAAUUACUGGGCGUAAAGCGCACGCAGGCGGUUGGAUAAGUUAGAUGUGAAAGCCCCGGGCUCAACCUGGGAAUUGCAUUUAAAACUGUCCAGCUAGAGUCUUGUAAAGGGGGGUAGAAUUCCAGGUGUAGCGGUGAAAUGCGUAAAGAUCUGGAGGAAUACCGGUGGCGAAGGCGGCCCCCUGGACAAAAACUGACGCUCAGGUGCGAAAGCGUGGGGAGCAAACAGGAUUAAAUACCCUGGUAGUCCACGCCGUAAACGAUGUCGAUUUGGAGGCUGUGUCCUUGAGACGUGGCUUCCGGAGCUAACGCGUUAAAUCGACCGCCUGGGGAGUACGGCCGCAAGGUUAAAACUCAAAUGAAUUGACGGGGGCCCGCACAAGCGGUGGAGCA